rnacentral:tRNA from 4 species
GCCCUCGUGGCCCAAUUGGUAGAGGCGCCAGGUCGAGAGCCUGGUCAUCGUGCGCGUUCGAGUCGCGCCGAGGGCA